AAAGACUUCAUACUUCAUGGCCCCACUGGCAAGAAGAGAUGACCGACCAUCCCUGGAACUUGCUGAGUCCAAGAAAAGAAAAGCGACCCAAAGGCUUUCAGGGGACUCAAGAAAUGGAUUGGUUCUGAGUAGAAGAAUUGUUUUUCCCAUGCUGACUAUGGAUGCCAGAGGCAGAAAUUUCAGAUGAUCCUUGCUGUUUCCUGAAUCUUGGAGCUAGCACAGCAUCGUGGGGAAUGCUGUCCAUUUAGCAUGUUACAGAAGCAGCACUAGCCAAGCCCUGCUCAUUUGCUAAGAGUCUGUACUUCCAGAUGGGAGCAGCCUCUCAGCGUGAAAGCCAAUGUCUUCUUGCACUGUAUAACUGUAUAAUUCUACCACUCAAAACCACUCGAGCACAUCUGCACAUUUAUGUAGCAUUUUAUACUAUGUAAAGCACUUUCACAUAUAAUUACCUCAAUUUUUUAAUACAUCUUGCUUCAACACCAUGAUCUAGGUGGCUCAGACAAGUCAGACCCAAAAGAAGGUGUUAACUUCAAAUUCAAGAGCCUUUAUCCAUAAUGGUUGGUAUAACAAAAUACAAUAGAUGGAAUGCUUACAUUCACAACUUAUCUCUCAUAGCCCUGAAGUCUAGAAAGUCAAAGAUACAGCUGUGGCAGAUUUACUGUGGCUCUGGUGAGGACCUGCUUUCUGGUUCACAGAAAGUGCCUUCUUGUGACUUCACCUGGUGAAAGAGUCCUGGCAGCUUUUUGUGGCCUUGUGAGGGCAUUGGUCCAUUUCCCCCAGAGCUAUGUUCCCAUGAUUUAAUCACCUCCAGAGACCCAGCCUCCUAAUGCAUUACCAUAGUGACUACCUUCAACACAUGUCAUUUAAAAGGACAUAGCAUUCACUGCUCAGCCUCUGUCCUCUUGACCCACAACUCUCUAUACCUGCUUCACACACUCUCCAAGUCUUUGUGAAAUGCUGCCAUAUCAGAUAGUACUGUAAAAGGGAAAUUCUUGACUCUGAUGGACUCACACUGGUCAGGCUACACAAGGUCAUGAGCAGAUACAUGUAGGACUUGAAGAAGACAAGCAUGCUGUGAUAUGUUUCUAGCAGAGGCAUUUCUAGAGAAACAGAACAAGGAAGACUACAUGCAGAGGAGAAGCAAACAACAUUUUACUCCACAUGGAUGCCAUCACCCCCCAUGGGAGCUCUCCUUGAGAUCCUGCAACAAAGGCUAAACAUUCAGACCAGAAGAGCAAGAGCUCUCCCCUGGCUUCUAGUCACCAAAAUCGACACAGGAGCUUUUAGAAAGUUCCAAUGGCCAGCCUUGCCCCAGCUUAUUAAUUCAGAAGGCUGUAGGUGGAGCCUAAGCCCUGGAAUUUUGUUUAAAGUUCUCUGGGUGAUAAUAAAAAAGGUAACUGAUGUUGCUGAGCACUGAGCACCAAGGCAGGGUUCCACAUUAAGGGGCUUUUUCUUGUAUUAGCCCCUUAAAUCACCUGAAAGAGCUGGAGUGAUGGGCAGGGUAGGUAUCACUGCACCCAAGCUAGAUACAGAGAAACUCAGAUUUGGAGGGAUGGACUCACACAUUCACACAGUCCAUUUAUUUGCUAUCAGAGGAAGAGUGUCUCAAUAGAGCAGUGAAGUCUCAGCCGUGAGUCAUAGACACUAGGGGACCCACCAAUUAAUUACCCGAGGAUCCGGUGGAAAUGCUGAUUCGGAGUUUAACAAGCAAAGGAUGGAUGGAGCCCAGGAAUCUGCAUCUCUACCAAGCUCCAGGGAUGCAUGGAUGGUGUAGGGUUUGGGAUCACAUGUUUAGUAGUAAGGGUCUAGUAGAUACAUAUCUGCAAGAACUAACCCAAAUCCUAAGGUGUGUGUGUGUGUGUGUGUGUGUGUGUGUAAGUUUGUGCGUCUCUCUCCAUCUUAAUUUUUAAGUGAGACUAAAUUGGAGCUGACUGACUAUCCUGGCUGGCCAGCAAACCCUAAAUAUCCUCCUGUCUCUGCCUUCUCAGUUCUGAAAUUGUACACGCAAACUGCCAUGCCCAGCUUCCUGCACAGCUGCUGUGGAUUGAAGUCAGGCUCUCCCUCAUACUUGCUUGGUUUCUCUAAGCCAGCUCGCCAACCCCAAAACCCUUUUUGAUUGUUCACGUAGGGAAGGUUAGGAACCUCUUAGUGGCUGCCACACUAUUCAAAUAAGCACCACCUGGUUGCCACCACCCAAGCCCCCUUCCUCUGUGUGGCAAUCUGUAAAGAGUCUGUGAAGCAAAGUGAAGAGCCCCUUUAUCAUCACUACCUCUCUCUUUUCUCUUCUCUGUCCCCACUUAUAUCCCCUCUACCCACCCUCUUUCUUCAUGACC